UACGAAGGGGGCUAGCGUUGCUCGGAAUUACUGGGCGUAAAGGGCGCGUAGGCGGGUCGUUUAGUUAGAGGUGAAAGCCCAGGGCUCAACCCUGGAAUUGCCUUUAAUACUGGCGGCCUUGAGUAUGGCAGAGGUGUGUGGAACUCCGAGUGUAGAGGUGAAAUUCGUAGAUAUUCGCAAGAACACCAGUGGCGAAGGCGGCUCUCUGGGACGGUACUGACGCUGAGACGCGAAAGCGUGGGGAGCGAACAGG
rnacentral:rRNA from 1 species